rnacentral:lncRNA from 1 species
UUGAUUUAUGGCUCCCCACUUUUACCCAAAUUUAAUGGUGAUGAAUUUCUUGAUGCUGGGGCUCCCCCUUUGAAAUUUGUGGAAUUGAUGAGAAGAUUGAAUCUUAGUGAGAUCUUGGUGAGGAAGAUAUUGGUGAGGAAUAGAUCUUGGUGAGGUGAAGAAAAUCUUGGUGAGGAGGGAAACAAAGAUGACGAGGAAGAAAUGGAGAAGGAGAGUUGGAGGUGGGGUGGUUUUGGUGUUAAAGAGGAGAAGAGGAUGGGUUUU